AUGGACGACGACACAAUGCUCAACAAUCACGGUCCUCAGCCUGGUGCUGAGACAGUUUAUGGCACCGAGGAUAACAAUAUGGUCAUGUCAGAAAAGAAUGAACAGGUUGUGAGCAUCGUGCAACAAUUAGCUGGUAGUAUAUAUCAAGAAUUCGAACGCAUGAUUAAUCGCUAUGACGAAGACGUGGUGAAAAAUCUUAUGCCACUACUGGUGAAUGUCUUAGAAUGCCUGGAUGCAUCAUAUCGCAUAAAUCAGGAGCAGGAUGUUGAAUUGGAGCUGUUGCGUGAGGACAACGAACAGCUGGUCACACAAUAUGAACGCGAAAAGAGUGCACGCAAACAAUCCGAACAGAAGCUGCUGGAAUCGGAGGAUGUGGCUGAACAAGAGAACAAAGAGCUGGCAAGCCGCUUGGAGUCACUAGAAAGCAUUGUGCGCAUGCUCGAAUUGAAGCAUAAAAACAGUUUAGAACAUGCGAGCCGUUUGGAAGAGCGCGAAACCGAACUGAAAAAGGAGUAUAAUAAACUGCAUGAACGUUAUACGGAGCUUUUCAAAAAUCAUGUUGACUACAUGGAACGCACCAAAAUGCUCAUGGGUUCUACACACUCACAAAUGAGUUCGGCUUCGGAGCGCUUAGAAAUGAAUCGAGCCAGGUUAAAUCCAAUUGCUCGAUCAUCCGGUCCAGUAUCGUAUGGAUUCGCGUCGCUCGAGAACUCAGCCAUGCUAGACACAGAGACAAUCUGUAGUGUGGGCAGCAAUUCGGAUGAUUCGGGGCCACCAUCAUUGCAAAAUGAAUUGGACAGUUUGCAGACGGUGGAGCGUGCGGCUGAGACGGACACAUUACAACACCAGAAUCAGGCUACAUCACCGCAAAGUGAAACGAGUCCCGCUGUGCCAAAUGCACCAGCCAAUGUUGGGCGUUCAACAACCAAAAAGGAGCAACGCUCUGCUAAUACCCUAUACCAAGAGUUGUCCUUUCAAGAUAACGAAGAGAGUGAAGAGCAUGAAGUUGUUACAGGAAGCUGGGUGCAUCCUGGAGAAUAUGCUUCUUCGGCUAACGACAACUAUUUCGGCAUGGGCAAAGAAGUGGAAAACCUCAUCAUGGAGAAUAAUGAACUCUUGGCAACGAAGAAUGCUUUGAACAUUGUUAAGGACGACUUGAUUGCCAAAGUCGAUGAGCUGACUGGCGAGAUUGAGAUAUUGCGCGAAGAAUUGAAUGCAAUGCAGCAAUCGCGCAACAAAUUGCGUCAGAAGGUUAGCGAGCUGGAGGAGGAGCUGAAAAAGACAAAGGAACAAGUUAAGCAACAAAAUGACACUGAACAGGAUGAGAACGAUGUACCAUUAGCUCAACGUAAACGCUUUACGCGCGUGGAAAUGGCGAUGGUGUUGAUGGAGCGCAAUCAAUACAAAGAACGUCUGAUGGAGCUGCAGGAGGCUGUGCGUUUAACAGAGAUUUUACGCGCCUCACGCACCGUCGACAAUUUGGACAAAAAGUCCAAGCAGAGCAUAUGGAAAUAUUUUAGUAGUUUAUUUACCCCCUCCAAUCGCCCGCAGGAGCGCGUCGCUGACGGGCAAGGAGGGGGGCCUAUGUUUCGCUACUCCAGCCCAGUUCACAGCCAUGGAUCCCCCAGUCGAAAUAGCGACAAUCGCCUUGCCAUAACCGGUGCACGCGACAAUGCAAAUCCACCACCACAUCCCGCCAGUGCGGGUCUAGCAAAUGCAUUGAUCACAAAAGACUACUCCGAGGAGGGUACAUCAGAACGCGCAAGCGCACGACGGCGCGAACAAUAUCGACAAUUACGUGCACAUGUACAGAAGGAGGAUGGCCGUUUGCAAGCCUACGGCUGGAGUUUGCCCAUAAACAAGACAAAUCAAGAGCAACCGAAUCGUCACUCUGGCGGUGUGCCGGUACCAGUCUAUUGCAAUCCUUUAGCCGAAGCGUCGCCGCAUAUGAAAGUGUUCUGUGCCGCCGGUGUGAAUCUUAACGGGGGUUUUACCAAAGAUGGACGUUCAGUUAUACCGUCGACGUCAUCAUAUGACCCACGUUCUACAGCUAAAAUCGCAGAAAUUACCAGUCCUACAGCAGAGCACUCAGCCGAGGCGCUCGAUCGGCAAAUAAAUCGUGCGAGUUUGGCCAAUUUGGAGCCAGAAACCCAAUUAUCAUCAUAUGUGUGGAUUUGCACGAGCACACAUGCGGCGAGCACAGUAACAGUGGUGGAUGCUAAUCAGUCGGCAGUUGUGCUAGACGCGUUUCCCAUAUGCGCAUCACAUAUGCUUUGUAUUGCCUCUGUGCAAGGCGCAGUGGAGAAGGAUUACGCGCUGCUCGAGAACUCUGAAGUGGUUAAGGCUGGUGAAAUGUUGGAGCGUCCCGGCGAAGGCGCCGAAUCAUUUGGCAAGGUUGAGUUUGUGCGUGUACGUCCGAAAGCCGAUAAGAACAGUAACACCAAUAAAAGCGCCCGCGCAGAUGAACAGGCAGAGGAGGUGAUAGCUAUUGAAACGGCUGCGGUUGAGGAGAAUGCAAAGGAAGCUGUUGAAAAAACAGCAGACGACACGAAAAACGCGGCCAACGAGCCAUUGGGCAAUAUACAAGAGAUUAAGGUGCGACAGGCGCUACCAGGUGCACCACAACGCUUGCAGGACGACGGCAGUGUGACCAGCGCCAAAGCGAACAUCAACAAUAACAACUUGCAGCCGUCCUUCUCGAAGCCCAUCAACCCAAUAUUGGGUACGAAAAAUCGUCAGGAUCCGCCAAUGACUUCGAUUGGGCCGACCAUGUGGAUGGGCGAUCAGGAAGGUUGGCUGUAUGUGCAUAGUGCUGUAGGUCGCUGGCAUGAAUGCUUGCAUAAGGUUCUCCUGCCCGAUGCCGUCCUAGCGAUAGUGCAUGUGGAGUCGCGCGUUGUUGUGGCCCUAGCUAAUGCUCAAUUGGCAGUGUUUCGCCGCCAAACAGACGGCCAAUGGGAUCUGAAUAGUUAUCACCUGGUAACGCUGGGUGAUCGUAAUCAUUCGAUACGUUGUCUCUGUGUGGCUGGCGAACGCAUUUGGGCCGCUCACCGCAACAAGAUCUAUAUUGUCGAUCCGAUCUCACUGAGCAUCGUCCACUCGCUGGAGGCGCAUCCACGUAAGGAGAGCCAAGUGCGACAAAUGGCUGCUACCGGCUCGGGUGUAUGGGUUUCCAUACGCUUGGACUCGACACUUCGUUUAUACAGUUCGAACACUUUCGAACACAAACAGGAUGUGGAUAUCGAGCCGUACGUUUCGAAAAUGCUUGGCACUGGCAAGUUGGGUUUCUCAUUUGUGCGCAUUACCGCAUUGAUGGUAUCAUGCAAUCGCUUGUGGAUCGGUACCAGUAACGGGGUCAUAAUUUCGGUGCCAUUAUCGGAGGGUCAAGGCAAAUCAACUGAUCCCAAUAGUCAAAUACCGUUAUGUUGCAUGGCCAAUGCUCAGCUCUCGUUCCACGGUCAUCGUGAUGCGGUUAAGUUCUUUGUAUCCGUGCCGAUGCAGCUACAAAAUGGCGGACAACUGCAAUUCACCAACAAACGGCCGGAUAUGCUAGUCAUGUGUGGCGGCGAAGGCUACAUCGAUUUUCGCAUAAGGCAAGAAAAAUCCAUAACCGAUCCUGGUGAUAAUGAGGCGCAUUUGAUAGUUUGGAAAGUUGAUACUACAUAUAAUUUGUAGUGAUUGAGAGAUGUGGAUAUUGCUACGUACAAAUGUGUUGACACAACACAACGCGUUCCCAUUGCAGCCGUAUACGCACGCGUUAAAGCUAGUAGUUCAAGCUACCAAGCAUGCUGUUGCUGUAUACGUUGUGAUCAGUGAAAAAAAUCGUGCCUUAAACUACUAUAUAUUAACUUUAAUUCACAUGCACAGCGCAGCAAAUUCGUUGAUGCAACGGCAGUUACCUGAUUCAAUACCAAAAUAAGAUGACAAUGAUAUGGAAAACAGUAUUCAACUGGAGGCGAAUCAAACGAUUGAGAAUCGCGGCGACAAGAGUUAUUUAAUUGUGUGGC
rnacentral:misc_RNA from 1 species